ACAAGUGACCCCGGUCUAACCACCGGGAUGUUCAUAACCCUUUGUUGUCCGACUCUGUUGCCUCCGGGGCGACCCUGCCUUCGGGCGGGGGCUCCGGGUGGACACUUCAAACUCUUGCGUAACUUUGCAGUCUGAGUAAACUUAAUUAAUAAAUUAAAACUUUUAACAACGGAUCUCUUGGUUCUGGCAUCGAUGAAGAACGCAGCGAAAUGCGAUAAGUAAUGUGAAUUGCAGAAUUCAGUGAAUCAUCGAAUCUUUGAACGCACAUUGCGCCCCCUGGUAUUCCGGGGGGCAUGCCUGUUCGAGCGUCAUUUCACCACUCAAGCCUCGCUUGGUAUUGGGCAACGCGGUCCGCCGCGUGCCUCAAAUCGACCGGCUGGGUCUUCUGUCCCCUAAGCGUUGUGGAAACUAUUCGCUAAAGGGUGUUCGGGAGGCUACGCCGUAAAACAACCCCAUUUCUAAGGUUGACCUCGGAUCAGGUAGGGAUACCCGCUGAACUUAA
rnacentral:rRNA from 2 species